rnacentral:rRNA from 1 species
AAACCAACAGGGAUUGCCCUAGUAACGGCGAGUGAAGCGGCAACAGCUCAAAUUUGAAAUCUGGCCCUCGCGGUCCGAGUUGUAAUUUGUAGAGGAUGCUUUUGGUGCGGUGCCUUCCGAGUUCCCUGGAACGGGACGCCGGAGAGGGUGAGAGCCCCGUACGGUUGGACGCCUAGCCUAUAUAUAGCUCCUUCGACGAGUCGAGUAGUUUGGGAAUGCUGCUCUAAAUGGGAGGUAAAUUUCUUCUAAAGCUAAAUACCGGCCAGAGACCGAUAGCGCACAAGUAGAGUGAUCGAAAGAUGAAAAGCACUUUGAAAAGAGGGUUAAAUAGCACGUGAAAUUGUUGAAAGGGAAGCGUUUGCGACCAGACUUUUUCCAGGGGAAUCAUCCGGUGUUCUCACCGGUGCACUUCCCCUGGUUUAGGCCAGCGUCGGUUCUCUUAGGGGGAUAAAGGCUUGGGGAACGUAGCUCUUUCGGGAGUGUUAUAGCCCCUCGCGUAAUACCCUUCGGGGGACCGAGGAUCGCGCUCUGCAAGGACGCUGGCGUAAUGGUCGUCAACGAC